GUGAGAUGGAGUUGAUCUGGAUGUGCAGCCAUGUUUGGAAUAGCUCUGAACUGCAGAUUUCAUUAUGAAGGCACCGCUGGUUCUGCAUUUGUAUCCAUCUGGAAUCCAGGAGAUGAAAUGGAGCAGUGAAGUUCCUCAGUAUCCAAAUCACAAAGGACUUAAAAUGGCCCACUCCCACAUGCACAGUCGGGAAGAAUGCGCAACCUCUACAUCAGGCGGAGUGAAAGGAAGGCCCGGACUCCAGCCGCCCAAUAGGCUGUUCUUUCUGCUUCCACACGGCAAGUGGUACCAGUGCAACAAGUCUGACACCAACAGGCUCCUGAACAACUUCUAUCCUCAAUCCAUAAGACCCCUAAAUAGCUAACAUAACUUCUACACAGACUGAGUUUACUCUUGUAUUUUAUAUUAUUUAUUUAAUUCAAUGUUUACCUCUAUGCACACUCACAGGACUCACACACUCUGACACACAUAACCUGCUCACAUAUUUAUACUGACUCUACACA